GGCUCUGGAUGAACGCUGGCGGCGUGCCUAAUACAUGCAAGUCGGACGGUUCUCGCAAGAGGAUAGUGGCGAACGGGUGAGUAACGCGUUGGUGACCUGCCCCUUACAGAGGGAUAACAGAUCGAAAGAUCUGCUAAUACCGCAUAAGAUCGUAGGGAUUAGAAGCCUAUGAUGAAAGCCGAAAGGCGCUGAGGGAGGGACCUGCGUCCCAUCAGCUAGUUGGUGAGGUAACGGCCCACCAAGGCGAUGACGGGUAGGGGACCUGAGAGGGUGACCCCCCACAAUGGAACUGAAACACGGUCCAUACACCUACGGGUGGCAGCAGUAGGGAAUAUUGGGAAUGGGCGCAAGCCUGACCCAGCAACGCCGCGUGAGUGAUGAAGGCCUUCGGGUUGUAAAACUCUUUUCACCGGGAAGAGGAAGGACGGUACCGGUGGAAUAAGUCUCGGCUAACUACGUGCCAGCAGCCGCGGUAACACGUAGGAGACAAGCGUUAUCCGGAUUUACUGGGUGUAAAGCGCGUGCAGGCGGUCUGGUAAGUUGGAUGUGAAAGCUCCUGGCUUAACUGGGAGAGGUCGUUCAAUACUGCUGGACUAGAGGAUGGCAGAGGGGAGUGGAAUUCCGAGUGUAGCGGUAAAAUGCAUAGAUAUUCGGAAGAACACCAGUGGCGAAGGCGGCUCUCUGGGCCAUUUCUGACGCUCAGACGCGAAAGCUAGGGUAGCAAACGGGAUUAGAGACCCCGGUAGUCCUAGCCGUAAACGAUGUGAACUUGGCGUGGGUGGGUUCAAAUCCAUCCGUGCCGCAGCAAACGCGAUAAGUUCACCACCUGGGGACUACAGCCGCAUCGGUAAAACUC
rnacentral:rRNA from 1 species